AGGUGGUUUGUCGCGUUGUUCGUGAAAUGCCACAGCUUAACUGUGGGCGUGCGGGCGAUACGGGCAGACUGGAGUACUGCAGGGGAGACUGGAAUUCCUGGUGUAGCGGUGGAAUGCGCAGAUAUCAGGAGGAACACCGGUGGCGAAGGCGGGUCUCUGGGCAGUAACUGACGCUGAGGAGCGAAAGCGUGGGGAGCGAACAGGAUUAGAUACCCUGGUAGUCCACGCCGUAAACGGUGGGUACUAGGUGUGGGUUUCCUUCCUUGGGAUCCGUGCCGUAGCUAACGCAUUAAGUACCCCGCCUGGGAGUACG
rnacentral:rRNA from 1 species